rnacentral:rRNA from 1 species
AAAAACACUAGUUCUCAUACAAUCACCAAAGUUAAGCAACAUUGAGCCUGGUCAGUACCUAGAUGGGUGGCCACUUGGAAAUACCAGAUGCUGUAAG